AGUGAACGCUGGCGGUAGGCCUAACACAUGCAAGUCGAACGGCAGCACAGUAAGAGCUUGCUCUUACGGGUGGCGAGUGGCGGACGGGUGAGGCAUACAUCGGAAUCUACUUUUUCGUGGGGGAUAACGUAGGGAAACUUACGCUAAUACCGCAUACGACCCACGGGUGAAAGCAGGGGGUCUUCGGACCUUGCGCGAUUGAAUGAGCCGAUGUCGGAUUAGCUAGUUGGCGGGGUAAAGGCCCACCAAGGCGACGAUCCGCAGCUGGUCUGAGAGGAUGAUCAGCCACACUGGAACUGAGACACGGUCCAGACUCCUACGGGAGGCAGCAGUGGGGAAUAUUGGACAAUGGGCGCAAGCCUGAUCCAGCCAUACCGCGUGGGUGAAGAAGGCCUUCGGGUUGUAAAGCCCUUUUGUUGGGAAAGAAAAGCAGCAGGUUAAUACCCCGCUGUUCUGACGGUACCCAAAGAAUAAGCACCGGCUAACUUCGUG
rnacentral:rRNA from 1 species